UAAGAAUGGAAGAUUUGAAAGUAAUUUCAGCAAGUUCAGAAUUCAUAUAACUUUUAUACAAAAUGAAAACAAGUGAUGAUAUAUUUUCAAAAUAAUACCUUUAACCCUUCAUCAGUAGCCAGUUCUAGCAAUUAAUCCUUUAAAGUCAUAUUUAAAUUUAAGCUGUGUUUUAAUGAGAAAGAUGGCUUCCAGAUUUUACCUACUUUUGAGUAACACUUGGCCAACUACUCGUUUAAUGCACAUGACUAGUGCAUGGUUUGUACCACAGUUUAUCAUGUAAGUGUAUUUGGCAUCUGAAUUGAUCUAUAACCUGUUAACAAGGUGAGUGUGUCUGCUGCUCAGGAGCUUGGAUGCUUUGGCACUGUUACAUUGCUGUGAAAAUUAUUAUUUUGUGUAGUUAAUCAGAAAACCCUAUGAUUUUAUGAUGUGAAUUAUCUGUUUUAAAUUAAGGUUUUGGCUUGGACAACAGCGUUGCAAACAAUCUAUAAAACAUUUGCCUACAAUAAGCAGUGAAACAUUGCAGCUUUCCAAUUACUCAACUCAUUCCUAUUGGAAACCUUUCUAAAAAUAAGCUAUUCAUUAAACUUACCCGUCUUCCACAAUACUACAUUGUUGUGGAGAUGCUGGAGGUCCCCAAUAACCUACACAACUCUCAUACAAGUACUACUUCAUGUCUGUGAAUGCUGCAGAUCGUGAAGACAGCCCUGUUGUGGCACUGCUGCUGCAGCAGUUCAAGGAAAACAUCCAGGACUUGAUUUUGCGUACAAAACUGGGAAACAGACGAGAACUGGUACCAAGCGCAAGUUGACUGAUGAUCCGUGUCCAGUAGAGUCCAAGAAACCAAACGAUCAGGAGAAAUGUGUGCCUUCAAUAAAGUUCUAGCUCACUUUGUUGCUAUGUGUGAUACAAACAUGCCAUUUGUAGGACUCCGGUUAGAGUUGUCCAAUCUGGAGAUUCCACAUCAGGGGUGCAAGUAGAAGGUGAUGGCUUCAGUCAUGCAAUUCGCUUAUUAAAAAUUCCUCCCUGUAAGGGUGUAAAUGAAGGAAACCCAAAAGGCUCUGGACCGUUCUCUGCUAUCGAUUGCACUUUCCGAUUACAAGGUAGAAUAACCGCACGUGGGUGG